UAGAUACCCCGGUAGUCCACGCCCUAAACGAUGAACACUAGUCGUCGGGAUGCUAGUCAUCUCGGUGAUGCACUUAACAGAUUAAGUGUUCCGCCUGGGGAGUACGGUCGCAAGAUUAAAACUCAAAGGAAUAGACGGGGACCCGCACAAGUGGUGGAGCAUGUGGUUUAAUUCGAAGAUACGCGAAGAACCUUACCUAGCCUUGACAUUGAUUGAAUUUUCCAGAGAUGGAGAAGUGCCCUUCGGGGAACAUGAAAACAGGUGCUGCACGGCUGUCGUCAGCUCGUGUCGUGAGAUGUUGGGUUAAGUCCCGCAACGAGCGCAACCCUCGUCCUUAGUUGCCAGCAGGUUAAGCUGGGCACUUUAAGGAGACUGCCUUCGUAAGGAGGAGGAAGGUGAGGACGACGUCAAGUCAUCAUGGCCCUUAUGGCUAGGGCUACACACGUGCUACAAUGGGGCGUACAGAGAGUUGCGAUACCGCGAGGUGGAGCCAAUCUCACAAAGCGUCUCUCAGUUCGGAUUGAAGUCUGCAACUCGACUUCAUGAAGCUGGAAUCACUAGUAAUCGUAGAUCAGCAAUGCUACGGUGAAUACGUUCCCGGGUCUUGUACUCACCGCCCGUCACACCAUGGGAGUUGAUUUCACCCGAAAUUGGGAAGCUAACCUUCGGGAGGCUACCACUUACGGUGGAAUUAGCGACUGGGGUGAAGUCGUAACAAGGUA
rnacentral:rRNA from 1 species